rnacentral:tRNA from 1 species
AGGGAUGUAGUUCAGUGAUAGAAUGCUUACUUGCAUGCAUGAGGCUCUGGGUUCCAUCCCCAGCAUCACAA